GCCGGGCGUGGUGGCUCAUGCCUGUAAUCUCAGCACUUUGGGAGGCCGAGGUGGGUGGAUCACUUGAGGCCAGGAGUUCAAGACCAGCCUGGCCAACAUGGUGAAACCCCAUCUCUA
ensembl:misc_RNA Metazoa_SRP Metazoan signal recognition particle RNA